rnacentral:rRNA from 1 species
UACAGAGGUCUCAACCGUUGUUCGGAUUCAUUGGGCGUAAAGGGUGCGUAGGCGGCGGGGUAAGUCAGGUGUGAAAUCUCGGGGCUCAACCCCGAAACUGCACUUGAUACUGCCUCGCUUGAGUACUGGAGAGGAGACUGGAAUUUACGGUGUAGCAGUGAAAUGCGUAGAUAUCGUAAGGAAGACCAGUGGCGAAGGCGAGUUCCUGGACAGUUACUGACGCUGAGGCACGAAGGCCAGGGGAGCAAAACGGGG